UAAAACCCACAGAAGAAGAUUUCAGGUCUCCAUUUUAUUAUAGCUAGCAGCUCAUGUCGCAGCUACAGACAGGGGUUUCGACGGAAGACUGCAAACGGAUCGAAUAUUAGUGUUGGUUUUACAAUACGUUUCUCAUUCACGUUUGCGGAGUAUCAAUUUUUGUUUUGAAAAUUGAGACCUGUUGAAAUGGCAGAUCCAGCCAUGCACCGAGAUUGCCCUCUUGACUGCAAGGUCUAUGUGGGAAACCUGGGAAAUAAUGGCAACAAGACAGAGCUGGAGAGGUCCUUUGGCUAUUAUGGGCCACUUCGCAGUGUCUGGGUAGCAAGGAACCCCCCGGGCUUUGCUUUUGUGGAAUUUGAAGAUCCAAGGGAUGCAACAGAUGCAGUGAGGGAGCUUGAUGGAAGGACACUAAGUGGUUCUCGUGUGCGAGUGGAGCUGUCCAAUGGUGAGAAACGCACCCGCAACCGGGGUCCUCCUCCCUCAUGGAGCAGACGUCCUCGAGAUGAACAUCGCGGGCGUCGUGGUAGCCCGCCCGCCAGGCGCAGAGUCAUCACCAUGCCUCUUCUCACCACCCUCUGAGUCAGUCAACUAGUCCUCUUUCAGCAGCAUGUGACCUCUGACCAGCGUGCACCAAUCAGCUUGGCUGGUGUCGUGUCACAUGACCCAGGCAUGGCCAGUCGUCAGGUUGCACCAGCCCAUUGGUUCCUGCGCAUGCAGUUCUCAGCCUCCUCCUCCAACCUUAACCAAAUCGGCAGCGGCCCACCUCACAUUCCCGACCAAUCAGCGUUUUACGUCCCCAAAUGUCUACACUACUACAACGUACCAGCAACAGCCUUCGGCUAACCAAUAAAAGCAGGAAAAAUCCACAGCCAGCCAACUAAUCACCUCGCAGCAUCUGGCCAGUCCUUUUCAGCCAAAUCUGCCUACCCGGCCGACAGUCUGCCUCCCCUUCGUCAUUUCUAGCUUGUUGAAAACCAAAAGACUAAUCUCCACGAAGGAGGAGCUUCAGCCGCAGCCGAAGCAGGUCUCUCUCCAGAGACAGGAAGAGGGAGAGAUCUCUGUCCCGGGACAGAAACCAUAAACCCUCAAGAUCAUUCUCUCGAUCAAGGAGCCGCUCCAGAUCUACUGAGAGAAAGUAAGAAGAUUCACAGCAAUCGAUGGAUGAACAAAUACAGCCAUCCCUCUAGCGAGUUGUUUCAUGUGAUGGACUUUAAAUGACCUCUGGUCAUUUUUGUCAUUAUUUUAAUUUUAUUUUUAACAAUCAAAUGUUUAGUAUUUGCUUCUUUGUGACUUUCAAGGUAUCUAUUUCCUCUGUAUUUUGUAAAUAAGUGGGUAUGCAGGUGUGAUACGUUACUGAAAGGGCUGAACUUGAGAACCAACUUCUCAUUCAAAAUAGCAUAUAAGACAUCGAUGUUAGUCAAACAUUUAUUCCAGUGCCAAAAUUGACAAUAAAAAUGCAAGUAGGUACAUAUAAAGUCCGUAUCGUCCAAAACAGACUUGUGAGAUUUGUGUACAAGAUUUCGUCAUGACUUGAGUGUUUGAGUCUCUAUGUCUAAAAGUACCAGGUCAAGGAAAGGCCCUGUUUUAAAUAGUCUAGUGCUCACGUCAUGUUUCCAUGUCAGCAAGAUUUGUCUGGAGGUGGUAAAAGGCUAUGGUCAUCUAUUCUAUGUUGAUUAAUAUAUGUAUCUUGUCGUCUAGUUGAUCAAUAGGAUUUUCGCUGUUCUUCCAUUUCCUGUUGGUAAAUAUUUGUCGGUGGGAAUAAUGGCACCCUUAUUCGGGAUGUUGGAAUUGAUUUGAGAAAAAAAGAUGCAAAGUACUGAAUACAAUUAUCUCAAUUUUGGCUCUACAAUAUUCCAUUUUCUUUUCCUUUGUACUAUUUGUAAUGUUCUCUGAAUUAAAAACUGGUUGUAAAAAAAGUGUUACCAUUUUGUGGGGAGAUGUAAAAUAUUAAACAGUCUACAGACCUCA